AAAUAAAGGUCCCUCUAGGGGCAGCAGAUUUUUUUCUGGAGACUGCUCAUAUGUAACUUGCAACCUGUUGUCCCAUAUCUUCUUUUGCGGAUGCCACUCCUCCUUCUGGACUCCAAAUCCCCUGCUGGAACUGGACCCUGGCACUUAGUCCCAAAUCUUAAAACUCUGUUUCCAAAGUCGAUCUCUAAUUGUGGUCACACUACAUUUGAUGGUCAGUUUGUUUGUUUCCCUAUCUUAUCCACUUUUUCUUUUUCUUUUUCUCUUCCACAUAGAUCUUUUCCAAAAAUUAUGCCACUGAUCUUUGAAAUUGUCAUUAUUUUAAAUGAAAUUUAACCUCAUAAUCAUGUUUUGGGAUACAAAGACUUUCAUCAUAACAUCAUCUUUUUUUCUUGUCUGUCUAUUCUGCUAAAAAGAAAUACCAGUUUCCCAUAAAGUGAAUGUUUAAAAUGUAGAAACAUAUGUCAAAUAAUUAAAACUGUAAUGUCUUAAAAUUAACUGUUCCAUGGUAUAAAGAAUUUUUUUUUCACACUUUGCUUGUUUCAGCUACAGCUGUGUGGUUAUUCCUGUAGUGGCAUGACAGAACAAAUUUCUGUAUUGUUUACAUAAAUUAACUCAAUUCUUUGACUUGAUAACAUUUUUCACAUGAUCAACCCAUAAUGCCUUGAUGUCCUCACCAAGGUGAAAAACAGAACUAUUCCUUCUCCAUUCCAUUGCUUCAUACCAUGUGACUAUAAAGUUCAAAAAGAUAUGAUUCUUUCAAUAUAAUUUUGUUGGGGGAGAGAAAGAAUAACUAAAACCAAGUAGAUGUUUUAUCAUGACUCUAUACAUAAAAGAAAAAAUCAAAGCAGGACAAUGCUUUAUAUUAAUAAAUUGAUUAUUAAUCCUGUGCUAGACACACUUACUACUGAUCAGACAGCAUAAAUCCUUUAUUACUAUAGAACAAUGGAAGAAUAUUAAGAAUUUUAUGAGAAGCUAUAUAACAAAUGUUUCUGAUUUCAUUCUUUAUCCCAAAUGCUACCUCUUCAAAAUUUCUUGAAGAAAUGAAAAUAAAUUGAACCGUAUCUCUUCAAUGAAGCUGUUAUCCACCUUACCUUCUUGUGGAAGUUUUCAUCCAAGUAUUUCUUACCAUUUUUUAUAUAGAUUAAUUUGUUCUCAAAUAAUUCUGCCAGGACUGAUAGAUGCCAUGCAAAUAUGAGAAAAUACUGAGAUAGAAUCAUUUAUUGACAGUAAUUGAGCUAAUAUUAAAAGAGCCAAAAUCACUCACUUUGUACUUAUAAUUUUUAGUGACACUUAGGGUUUAUAAAAGAAAUAGGAUUUUUUUCUAGUGGGUUAUUAUUUCUAGCCUUGUAUACUAAUACAAAAUUGCUCAAACAAAAGAAAGUAUGAGGAAAUUUAUUAGCCAUUGCAUGAAAUUAGAGACACAAAUCAGAUGGAACCACCUCUGUCAAUUAUUUCCCUAAUAUAAUUUAGAAGCAAAAUUAUUUUCAUGUUAGAUAUGAAAAAUCAAACAAUUUACAUUGAUUUUUUUCAAACAAUUAAAAAAACUGAAUUAGAUUCACAUUACUAAGCAGGGAAGAAAAUUGGUCUUCUCUAUAAGUAAUAAUUUUAAAAAUCUUGAUAAUAUGAUCAGUCUUUAUUUUAAGAGCCAAUGCAAUAAAUUUUGAAAAGAACAUUAUUGUUGUGUUUUUUAUUAACUUAUCUUGUUUUUUGAUAUGGUUCAUAGUAAGGGAAAUGCACUGCCAUUUGCAUAUAACAAAAGUUUAAGUAAAAAGAAAAAUGUGGAAGUUAUCUCUAGAAUUUUGCACAAAGGUUAUUUACUAUUUAUUUCCUACAAAUAGAUUUACUAUGUAAAUCAAGACUGCUUCCAUGAACUGACUGGUUGUAGGUUCAGGGUUUGUAAAGCAAUUUCAGCAAAGAAAAAGAUGAAAAAACAAAUUUCCUUUACAAAUGACCUUACAGUUAUCAAAGAAAGAUAAAAUUAUUUUGGGACAAAAAUAACUACUUAUAUUCAUGUCAUGCUUUUAUAUUAUUAUAUUUCCCAUAAAACCUAGUGAGGUGGAUAUCAUUUUUAUCACAACUAUGGUCUCUCAAAUUAACUUAAAUGAUGAGAGAAUAUUGCUUUAUAUACACAUAAAAUAUAAUUUGUGUCUAAGUAAUUCUAUUUGUCUAAAUGAUACAUGUCUUUUUUUCUAGUGCCAGUUGCACCAAUAACAAAAUUUCUGCAUAUCUAGAA
rnacentral:lncRNA from 1 species